UCUCUCCCCCUCCGCCUCCCAGUCGCCGCCUUCUAUUGGCCAGUUCAAGCCAGCACCGCCCUGUUGGCGCUCUCUGAUUGGUCGGGCGCUCGCUCGGAGCAGCGGGAUCCCCGGGGGGAAUCUUCUGGAAAGGCGUGACGUCACCGACGAGCCGUGCCUCAAGCGGUUCGUGUGCACGCCCCCUUCCCCGCCGCCCGCGGGUCCGGGGGCCCGGGGCGACACAGCGGCGCAUCCCGGUGUGGGUUAGACUGGUAACAAGGUGGAUCCUGGUUGGAGGAGCUGUCUGGACCCAGUGACUUGGAUUUUGUCCUGGGAGAUCUGCCUGUCUUAAGAAGAAAACCCACGUCUUGAUGCUGUUGAGUGCGGAACAUGGGGACAGCAUCCUGCCUGCACACCUGUCCAUAGACUGAGAAAGCAUCUGGUCGCACAGGUGCUGCAGCUCGUGGGUGGAGCUGAGCACUACUGUGAAUGGCUGAGGCUGUUAAGAUGUUUGUCCUUUUGUAACCUCUGUCUGCUUCCUUACGGAUGGAGUGUUUGAAAAGGGCGCUUUCAGUUCA